rnacentral:tRNA from 1 species
GGGCGUGUCGGUUAAUGGUAAACUAUCUGUCUCCAAAACAGAAACUGGGGGUUCGAUUCCCUCCACGCCUGCCA